AAAAUGCGAUACUUGGUGUGAAUUGCAGAAUCCCGUGAACCAUCGAGUUUUUGAACGCAAGUUGCGCCCGAAGCCAUUUGGCCGAGGGCACGUCUGCCUGGGCGUCACGUAUUGCGUCGCCCCCUCCUUGUGCUUCCCUUACGGGGAUACACGGGAUGGGGCGGAUAUUGGUCUCCCGUUCUUAGGGUACGGAUGGCCAAAAUAGGAGUCCCCAUGACGGACACACGACAAGUGGUGGUUGACAAAACAUUCGUCUCGUGUCGUGUGUUUGUAGCCGUGAGGGAAUGCAACACAAAAACCACAGCGUAUCGUCGUUUGACGAUGCUUCGACCGCGACCCCAGGUCAGGCGGGACUACCCGCUGAGUUUAA
rnacentral:misc_RNA from 1 species